AGUGAACGCUGGCGGUAGGCCUAACACAUGCAAGUCGAACGGCAGCACAGUAAGAGCUUGCUCUUACGGGUGGCGAGUGGCGGACGGGUGAGGAAUACAUCGGAAUCUACUUUUUCGUGGGGGAUAACGUAGGGAAACUUACGCUAAUACCGCAUACGACCUACGGGUGAAAGCAGGGGAUCUUCGGACCUUGCGCGAUUGAAUGAGCCGAUGUCGGAUUAGCUAGUUGGCGGGGUAAAGGCCCACCAAGGCGACGAUCCGCAGCUGGUCUGAGAGGGUGAUCAGCCACACUGGAACUGAGACACGGUCCAGACUCCUACGGGAGGCAGCAGUGGGGAAUAUUGGACAAUGGGCGCAAGCCUGAUCCAGCCAUACCGCGUGGGUGAAGAAGGCCUUCGGGUUGUAAAGCCCUUUUGUUGGGAAAGAAAAGCAGCAGGUUAAUACCCCGCUGUUCUGACGGUACCCAAAGAAUAAGCACCGGCUAACUUCGUG
rnacentral:rRNA from 1 species